CUCUUUAGUUUGUACGCGUGCACGCAUAUGUGGGUGCGGCGGACGGAGCGCCCUCCGGUGGCUCUAGGCCGUCGGAGGGGGGGAGGAGGAGGAGGGGCGUAGCCGGCCGGCGGCGCUACGAGGAGGCCAGCGGCGGCGCCGCGGAGGUGGACGAGGCGGGCGUGGCCGAAGCGCGAGAGAGGUUGCGACGGCGGCGCCGGGAGCGCCCGGGCGGGGGGCGGGGCUGGCUCACCUGCCUCCGCGGGCAGCGGAGCCAGGCGCGCCGGUGGCGGCUGCGGAGGGAGAAGGUGCAGAGGGAGCUGGAGAGGCGGGUGCCCGGGGAGGAGCGGAGGGUGCAGCGGCGGCCGGUCAAGGAGGGGAAGGCGGAGGGGAGGCGCGGGAUGGGGUAGAAGGAGCGGUAGAGGAGGGGAGGGGGCCGGAGGAGGAGGCCCAGAGGAGGGUUUAGCAAGCUAAAGGAGCAGUUCGCGGAGGGGCCGUGGGGGAGGCGCGCGGAGACGCUGGAGGCGGGGCCGCUGGAGCAGGGGCAGCCGCCGUCGCAGCAGCCGGCGCCCAAGCUCCAUUCGUCCUAGCGGCUGCGGGCGCUGCAGGAGCAGAAGCGGUGGCCUAGGCCCUAGUCAGGUUAGGCCAGUGAGUAACUCAGUCCAAAACCACUUUCACUCUUCUAACUACAUUCGGACAAAAUACCCCACUCUUUGGAAGUUUCCUACCGAAUAGUCCUUUCCAAGUCACUGACCCUUAGCUCUCCUUAUUUUUAAUAUGGACAAGAGAGAUCUGGUCUACUAGUUACCUGACCGGUCGCUCCGAUACAAGUCUUACGUAAAAGUUCCCGUUUCUUCCAAUAUUUAGGUAGUAGCUGCCCUCGUUAAAACACACCUGUAUUUGUCUACUGACUCCUUUAAUGAUCUCGAGAACAACGACUACCAUACAGGUUUCUAUUUUAGAAUUGUUUGAAGACUCAAGGUGACCUUGUGCAAAGAACGGGAACAUCGACAACAUGUGAAUGAAUGGUGGUGUUAGAUCACCGAGAACAAAUGUCGUUUACAAUACGCUGAAUCCCAGCGCUUUUUCUAUGACGAUGUAUGAUUGUUUAUUCCCGUUGAGUAAAAGGAAGUGCGACGCUCAACGGGUAGUUGGUAACCUACAACUAUAGGACUAUAUAAUUAGAGUUCGUUCUUCUUUUACGAACCACCAUGGGACUCUGUCAUAAGGGGACCUAACCUUCCACGGCUACGAGAGCUUUUCGGGGGAAGGUCUUAUCAUUUUCCCCUGACUUAUCCCCUGUAUCCAACAUUCAACCAUUUUAGUAAAGAAUCAAACAUACGGAAGCCUAUAUUAGCCGACGUUCACAAACCCGGCAUUUUAAAACCAUAUAAACUUCCAACAUUAUAAAAAACUUAACCAUUUUCCCCUGACUUAUCCCCUGUAUCCAACAUUCAACCAUUUUAGUAAAGAAUCAAACAUACGGAAGCCUAUAUUAGCCGACGUUCACAAACCCGGCAUUUUAAAACCAUAUAAACUUCCAACAUUAUAAAAAACUUAACGGACCUACAUAAACCUCGGACAAGAGGGUUGACCUUCACACGGACCUACAUAACACCUUUGACGAAAGAGUUGACUGCUGUUUUUCUACGUACCUUUUACCAAACAAGAAACUG
rnacentral:rRNA from 1 species